rnacentral:rRNA from 1 species
UACGAAGGGUGCAAGCGUUGUCCGGAUUCAUUGGGUUUAAAGGGUGCGCAGGCGGGACAUUAAGUCAGGGGUGAAAGACGGUUGCUCAACAAUCGCAGUGCCUUUGAUACUGGUGUUCUUGGGUGACCUUGAGGUAGGCGGAAUGGGUGGUGUAGCGGUGAAAUGCAUAGAUACCACCCAGAACUCCGAUUGCGAAGGCAGCCUACUGGAGGUUUACCGACGCUCAGGCACGAAAAGCGUGGGGGAUCAAAACAGG